GCCCGGAUAACUCAGUCGGUAGAGCAUCAGACUUUUAAUCUGAGGGUCCUGGGUUCAAGUCCCUGAUUGGGUG
rnacentral:tRNA from 1 species